rnacentral:rRNA from 1 species
UACGUAGGGGGCAAGCGUUGUCCGGAAUUAUUGGGCGUAAAGCGCGUGUAGGCGGCUCGGUAAGUCUGCUGUGAAAGUCCAGGGCUCAACCUUUGAACGCCGAUGGAUACUGCCGGGCUAGAGUCCGGAAGAGGCGAGUGGAAUUCCUGGUGUAGCGGUGAAAUGCGCAGAUAUCAGGAGGAACACCGAUGGCGAAGGCAGGUCUCUGGGCAUUAACUGACGCUGAGGAGCGAAAGCAUGGGGAGCGAACAGG